rnacentral:rRNA from 1 species
GCACCACAAGAGCGUGGAGUAUGUGGCUUAAUUUGACUCAACGCGGAAAAGCUUAUCUGGUCCGGACGCAGUGAGGAUUGACAGACAGUUUCAGGAGUGGUUCUUGGUAAACAAUUGAGAGAGUUGAAGUUCUUUCAUGAUCUUGUGAGAGGUGGUGCAUGGCCGUUCUUAGUUCGUGUAGUGAUAUGUCUGCCUAAUCGCGUCACGAUAACCUAUUGGUCGACAACCCAAUUAUCACAACUGCAGCAUAACUCCCCUUGGGUGGGCGAGGCUCUGUGUAGGAUAGACCUCUGAACAGUACGCAACGAACGCGAUCGUAAUCCCUUGUUGAGUGGCCAUCCUGUAAGCUGCUGGAUUAGGAACCCAGUGGUAUUAUCUCAGCCACAGAUUUU